rnacentral:misc_RNA from 1 species
AACGCACAUUGCGCCUUCCAGUAUCCUGGGAGGCAUGCCUGUCCGAGCGUCGUUUCAACCCUCGAGCCCCUGUGGCCCGGCGUUGGGGAUCUGCCACGGCAGGCCCCUAAAACCAGUGGCGGACCCGAAGGGCCCUCUCCUUUGCGCAGUAGCAUUCGCCUCGCAUCGGGAGUCCUCGGCGUCCUGCCUCUAAACCCCCCACAAGCCCGCCUCGGCGGCACCAAGGUUGACCUCGGAUCAGGUAGGAAUACCCGCUGAACUUAA